AACGUGCCCAAUAGUGGGGGAUAGCCCGGCGAAAGCCGGAUUAAUACCGCAUGAGACCUGAGGGUGAAAGCGGGGGACUCGCAAGAGCCUCGCGCUAUUGGAGCGGCCGAUAUCAGAUUAGGUAGUUGGUGGGGUAAAAGCCUACCAAGCCGACGAUCUGUAGCUGGUCUGAGAGGACGACCAGCCACACUGGGACUGAGACACGGCCCAGACUCCUACGGGAGGCAGCAGUGGGGAAUUUUGGACAAUGGGCGCAAGCCUGAUCCAGCCAUGCCGCGUGCGG
rnacentral:rRNA from 1 species